UCGAGCGGACAGAUGGGAGCUUGCUCCCUGAUGUUAGCGGCGGACGGGUGAGUAACACGUGGGUAACCUGCCUGUAAGACUGGGAUAACUCCGGGAAACCGGGGCUAAUACCGGAUGCUUGUUUGAACCGCAGGUUCAAACAUAAAAGGUGGCUUCGGCUACCACUUACAGAUGGACCCGCGGCGCAUAGCUAGUUGGUGAGGUAACGGCUCACCAAGGCAACGAUGCGUAGCCGACCUGAGAGGGUGAUCGGCCACACUGGGACUGAGACACGGCCCAGACUCCUACGGGAGGCAGCAGUAGGGAAUCUUCCGCAAUGGACGAAAGUCUGACGGAGCAACGCCGCGUGAGUGAUGAAGGUUUUCGGAUCGUAAAGCUCUGUUGUUAGGGAAGAACAAGUACCGUUCGAAUAGGGCGGUACCUUGACGGUACCUAACCAGAAAGCCACGGCUAACUACGUGCCAGCAGCCGCGGUAAUACGUAGGUGGCAAGCGUUGUCCGGAAUUAUUGGGCGUAAAGGGCUCGCAGGCGGUUCCUUAAGUCUGAUGUGAAAGCCCCCGGCUCAACCGGGGAGGGUCAUUGGAAACUGGGGAACUUGAGUGCAGAAGAGGAGAGUGGAAUUCCACGUGUAGCGGUGAAAUGCGUAGAGAUGUGGAGGAACACCAGUGGCGAAGGCGACUCUCUGGUCUGUAACUGACGCUGAGGAGCGAAAGCGUGGGGGAGCGAACAGGAUUAGAUACCCUGGUAGUCCACGCCGUAACGAUGAGUGCUAAGUGUUAGGGGGUUUCCGCCCCUUAGUGCUGCAGCUAACGCAUUAAGCACUCCGCCUGGGGAGUACGGUCGCAAGACUGAAACUCAAGGAAUUGACGGGGGCCCGCACAAGCGGUGGAGCAUGUGGUUUAAUUCGAA
rnacentral:rRNA from 1 species